rnacentral:rRNA from 1 species
CGUGUAGGCGGGUUAAUAAGUUUGAAGUGAAAUCCUAUGGCUCAACCAUAGAACUGCUUUGAAAACUGUUAACCUAGAAUAUGGGAGAGGUAGAUGGAAUUUCUGGUGUAGGGGUAAAAUCCGUAGAGAUCAGAAGGAAUACCGAUUGCGAAGGCGAUCUACUGGAACAUUAUCGACGCUGAGACGCGAAAGCGUGGGGAGCAAACA